GUCGGUGUGGUUUAGUUGGCUAUAAUGGUUCCGCGGCGGCUGCAAGUCCAGCCAUACCCGGAAAGGACCCGAGUUCGAUCCUCGGCGCCGACC